UCUCCGUUGGUGAACCAGCGGAGGGAUCAUUACCGAGUUUUCUACUCCCAAACCCCUGUGAACUUAUACCUUUACCGUUGCUUCGGCGGGUUAACGCCCCGGAAAGGCACCCGGAAGGGAGCCGCCCCGGAACCAGGCGCCCGCCGGGGGACCCAAACUCUUGUAUUUUCUUACCUAGCAUGUCUGAGAGGAAUCAUAAACAAAUGAAUCAAAACUUUCAACAACGGAUCUCUUGGUUCUG
rnacentral:misc_RNA from 1 species